AUUGAACGCUGGCGGCAUGCCUUACACAUGCAAGUCGAACGGCAGCAUGAUCUAGCUUGCUAGAUUGAUGGCGAGUGGCGAACGGGUGAGUAAUACAUCGGAACGUGCCCUGGAGUGGGGGAUAACUAGUCGAAAGAUUAGCUAAUACCGCAUACGACCUGAGGGUGAAAGUGGGGGACCGCAAGGCCUCAUGCUAUAGGAGCGGCCGAUGUCUGAUUAGCUAGUUGAUGAGGUAAAGGCUCACCAAGGCGACGAUCAGUAGCUGGUCUGAGAGGACGAUCAGCCACACUGGGACUGAGACACGGCCCAGACUCCUACGGGAGGCAGCAGUGGGGAAUUUUGGACAAUGGGGGCAACCCUGAUCCAGCAAUGCCGCGUGUGUGAAGAAGGCCUUCGGGUUGUAAAGCACUUUUGUCCGGAAAGAAAUCGCACUUACUAAUAUUAGGUGUGGAUGACGGUACCGGAAGAAUAAGGACCGGCUAACUACGUGCCAGCCGCCGCGGUAAUAC
rnacentral:rRNA from 1 species